CCCGCGUAGGAGCAUGUGGUUUAAUUCGAAGCAACGCGAGAACCUUACCAGGUCUUGACAUCCUCUGACCUCCCUAGAGAUAGGGCUUUCCCUUCGGGGACAGAGUGACAGGUGGUGCAUGGUUGUCGUCAGCUCGUGUCGUGAGAUGUUGGGUUAAGUCCCGCAACGAGCGCAACCCUUGAUCUUAGUUGCCAGCAUUCAGUUGGGCGCUCUAAGGUGACUGCCGGUGACAAACCGGAAGAAAGGGGGGAUGACAUCUAAUCAUCACGCCCCUUAUGAACUGGGGUACACACGUGCUACAAUGGACAAAAAAAAGGGGUGCGAAACCCCGCGGUUUAACCCAUCCCCCAAAUUUUUUUUCAAUUCGGAUAGCAAUCUGCAACUCUACCGCCUGAAACUCGAAUCGCUUUUAAUCGCGGAUAACCAUGCCCCGGUGAAAACAUUUCCCGGGCUUGUACACCCCCCCCCCUCAAAA
rnacentral:rRNA from 1 species